AGCAGCCGCGGUAAUUCCAGCUCCAAUAGCGUAUAUUAAAGUUGUUGCAGUUAAAAAGCUCGUAGUUGAAUUUCGGGGUUAGCAGGUCGGUCGUGCCAUUGGUAUGAACUGGUCUCGCUGAUCCCUCCCUCUUGACGAACUGUGAUGCCAUUAAUUUGGUGUCGCGGGGAAUCAGGACUGUUACUUUGGAAAAAUUAGAGUGUUUAAAGCAGGCUCACGCUUGAAUACAUUAGCAUGGAAUAAUGAAAUAGGACGUUUGAUCCUAUUUUGUUGGCUUCUAGGAUUGACGUAAUGAUUAAUAGGGAUAGUUGGGGGCAUUAGUAUUCAAUUGUCAGAGGUGAAAUUCUUGGAUUUAUUGAAGACUAACUACUGCGAAAGCAUUUGCCAAGGAUGUUUUCAUUAAUCAAGAACGAAAGUUAGGGGAUCGAAGACGAUCAGAUACCGUCGUAGUCUUAACCAUAAACUAUGCCGACUAGGGAUCGGAUGAUGUUAAUUUUUAAUGACUCAUUC
rnacentral:rRNA from 1 species